GUGAAUCAUCAAAUUUUUGAACGCAAAUUGCGCUUCCUGGCAUCCCGGGGAGUAUGCCUGUUUGAGGGUCAGUAUUAAUAUAAAAUCGGUUUAUUUACAAAUUUUUGCGUUUUCUGAGUUUUGACUGUCUUAACAUUUUUGGUUAAAAUGCUUAAAAUUGACCUUUUUUGCGCAUUUUGAAACGUACAUAAAUUUUGUUUAUUCGUCUAUUCUUAAUUCCAAAAUCUUAUUAGAUUCGAUCACAUCGUGUGGCUUCAUUUCCAUAAAAUGUUGAUGAUUUUACCUCAGC
rnacentral:misc_RNA from 1 species